rnacentral:rRNA from 1 species
CUCAUUAAAUCAGUUAUAGUUUAUUUGAUGGUCUCUUUUGUCUUUUUUACCUACUUGGAUAACCGUGGUAAUUCUAGAGCUAAUACAUGCGCAAGGUCCCAAGCGCGGAGGGUAGGGCUUCACGGCUCUAUUCUUGCAUGCGCAGAGGGAUGUAUUUAUUAGGUUAAACAACCAGCAGCCGGCAACGGCUUCAACACUCCUGGUGAUUCAUAGUAACUCUUUCGGAUCGCAUUCAUG